AUUCAAUAUAAAAGUGUUCCAAAACUGCCGUGUCGUGCCUGCGUCAUUAGGUGGCAGAGAGCAGAGAGGCUCGCCUACGCCCAGCGUCCUGGCCUUGGGCACCUGGAUGGUUGACGGCCUGACAGG
rfam:Myotis lucifugus cont2.8083, whole genome shotgun sequence.